rnacentral:rRNA from 1 species
GGACCCGCACAAGCAGCGGAGCAUGUGGUUUAAUUCGAAGCAACGCGAAGAACCUUACCAAGGCUUGACAUCCCCUUGACCGGCACAGAGAUGUGCCCUCUCCUUCGGGAGCAAGGGUGACAGGUGGUGCAUGGUUGUCGUCAGCUCGUGUCGUGAGAUGUUGGGUUAAGUCCCGCAACGAGCGCAACCCUUAUCCUUAGUUGCCAGCAUUUAGGUGGGCACUCUAAGGAGACUGCCGAUGAUAAAUCGGAGGAAGGUGGGGAUGACGUCAAAUCAUCAUGCCCCUUAUGUCUUGGGCUACACACGUGCUACAAUGGUCGGUACAAAGGGCAGCGAAGGAGUGAUCUGGAGCAAAUCCCAAUAAACCGAUCUCAGUUCGGAUUGUAGGCUGCAACUCGCCUACAUGAAGUCGGAGUUGCUAGUAAUCGCGAAUCAGAACGUCGCGGUGAAUGCGUUCCCGGGUCUU